UGGGGAAUAUUGGACAAUGGGCGAAAGCCUGAUCCAGCCAUGCCGCGUGAGUGACGAAGGUCUUCGGAUUGUAAAGCUCUUUUGGCGGGGACGAUAAUGACGGUACCCGCAGAAUAAGCCCCGGCUAACUUCGUGCCAGCAGCCGCGGUAAUACGAAGGGGGCUAGCGUUGUUCGGAAUUACUGGGCGUAAAGCGCACGUAGGCGGACUCUUAAGUCAGGGGUGAAAUCCCGGGGCUCAACCUCGGAAUUGCCUUUGAUACUGUGAGUCUUGAGACCGGAAGAGGUGAGUGGAAUUCCUAGUGUAGAGGUGAAAUUCGUAGAUAUUAGGAAGAACACCGGUGGCGAAGGCGGCUCACUGGUCCGGUUCUGACGCUGAGGUGCGAAAGCGUGGGGAGUAAACAG
rnacentral:rRNA from 1 species